GCUAGGACGAACGCUGGCGGCGUGCCUAAUACAUGCAAGUCGAACGGUCUUUCUAUGGAAGCUUGCUUCCACUGAGAAGAUAGUGGCGAACGGGUGAGUAACACGUGGGUAACCUGCCCAUAAGAGGGGGAUAACAUCCGGAAACGGGUGCUAAUACCGCAUAGUUUUCUUGAUCGCAUGAUCGGGAAAGGAAAGACGGCCUUUGUGCUGUCGCUUAUGGAUGGACCCGCGGCGUAUUAGUUAGUUGGUGAGGUAACGGCUCACCAAGACGAUGAUACGUAGCCGACCUGAGAGGGUGAUCGGCCACAUUGGGACUGAGACACGGCCCAAACUCCUACGGGAGGCAGCAGUAGGGAAUCUUCCGCAAUGGACGAAAGUCUGACGGAGCAACGCCGCGUGAGUGAAGAAAGGUUUUCGGAUCGUAAAACUCUGUUGUCAGAGAAGAACAAGUUGGAGAGUAACUGCUCCAGCCUUGACGGUAUCUGACCAGAAAGCCACGGCUAACUACGUGCCAGCCGCAGC
rnacentral:rRNA from 1 species